rnacentral:rRNA from 1 species
GAUGAACGCUGGCGGCGGGCCUAAUACAUGCAAGUCGAGCGAACAGACGAGGAGCUUGCUCCUCUGACGUUAGCGGCGGACGGGUGAGUAACACGUGGAUAACCUACCUAUAAUACUGGGAUAACUUCGGGAAACCGGAGCUAAUACCGGAUAAUAUAUUGAACCGCAUGGUUCAAUAGUGAAAGACGGUUUUGCUGUCACUUAUAGAUGGAUCCGCGCCGCAUUAGCUAGUUGGUAAGGUAACGGCUUACCAAGGCGACGAUGCGUAGCCGACCUGAGAGGGUGAUCGGCCACACUGGAACUGAGACACGGUCCAGACUCCUACGGGAGGCAGCAGUAGGGAAUCUUGCGCAAUGGGCGAAAGCUUGACGGAGCAACGCCGCGUGAGUGAUGAAGGUCUUCGGAUCGUAAAACUCUGUUAUUAGGGAAGAACAACUGUGUAAGUAACUAUGCACGUCUUGACGGUACCUAAUCAGAAAGCCACGGCUAACUACGUG